rnacentral:lncRNA from 1 species
GAGAAAGAUCAUGCCAGGGCUCCCGAGUGCUAAUGAAUUAAUGGAGAAGCCGAGUUAAUGAGUGCCGAGGAGGAGCUGUUGUCAGAGGUUUUGAGGUAAUAGUGAAGAGUUAUGGAGCCAGGAGGCAGAGCCUGGAGUGUUCAAAGUGGCCCCCAUGGCUCUAGAAAGGGAAGGUAGAAAAAUUAGGGAGAUAGGUCUCCAGGCUAGGUAAAGAGUCAGGAAGACAAGGAGAAUGCUGAGAACGAUGGGAGUCCUGCAGCCCUGGAGAGAUGUUGAAGGUGGAAGACGGAGAGCCCAUGGGGAGCUUGCACACUAUUAUUUGUAUAGGAAUAGGGAGAAAGAAAUGCAAGUGCAGGAGCAGAGUCUUUCAAGACUGCUCUCAAUUGCCAUUGCUUUCCUUGGUGUGUCUCUUGCUUCCAUCACUCUUUCUGCAAGAACCCGUUUGGCAUCUACUGCAUGUGAGGUCCUGUGCUGGUGCUGGGAGCAUGAUGUUGAAGAGCAAAGCCAAAGUAGUUUCAAGGAGCUUUCAGCCUGGGAAGAGCAGCUGACACUUAUCAACAACCCCUCAUGUGGACAUUAGUCAUGAUGCAGAAUUGUUUUCUUACCUUGGUGCCU